ensembl:lncRNA
GUAAAAUUUUAUCCUUUGAUACCCUGCCAAGGGGCUACUAAUUAUUUAUAACUUGAGUUUUCAGGGGAGAGGAGGAAGCAGGAAGGUACUCCUCUUUAUUGAGAAUAUACUAUAUGCCUGUUGGCUUUUUAAUUGGGAUAUUCAUCUUAAAUGAAUUUAGUAUACUUUUAAAUCAGAAAGGAUCUUGGAAUCCUCACUGUGCACAGGAUUUUUGUCUGAAAGAACUGGGUUGUGUGAGACCUGCUCACUGAUUAACACUAACUCUCUAUUCGUCACUCACAUCACAGACAUUGACCCCAACCUGUUUGCUCUCCAUUUCUCUUCUUUCCUGUAAAAUUCUCCUGUACUUCCUUACUUUUAUCUUUUUUUGGUCUUUCCUUCCAUCUUGAAAUCAUUUAUUUUCAUUACACAAGUUUUCAUUUCAGGAAUUUGUGAUAUUCAAGGAUGUGUCCAUAGACUUCUCUCAGGAGGAGUGAGAAUGCCUGGACUCAACUCAAAGGAAUUUGUACAGAUAUGUAAUGUUGGAGAAUUACAGCAACCUGGUCUCAGUCGGACUUUCCAUUGCCAAGCCAGAAGUGAUCUCUUUAUUGGAGCAAGGGAAGGAGCCUUGGGGUGUUUUUGACAGUGAGCUGACAAGGGGCCUGUAUCUAGGUAAGCGACUGAUAGUCAUGCAAGAGGAGAGGAGUGCAGGAUGUAACUUAGUUGUUCAAUGAGGAGACCAUGUCUGAGAUAUUUUGGGAAAUCUCCCCUCAGAGGUCCACAACUAUAUAGAAAAGUAAACCUCACUAUGAGCUUCCAAAUGCCCACACCUCCACCUCCAAGAUACCCCAUCUCUGCUUCUUUUCUCUCAUUUUUCCCUCCUAUUCAUAGCAGGUGAUUCUGAUGACAAGCUUCUAUCUUUAUUUGGGAUCUUAUUCCUUCUUAUUGGUUCACUCUCUUUUAUCUUUUGGUUUAUAUAUGUGUCACUCCCUUGAACGUUUUGGUAUUUAGUAUAUUUAGUUUUUGGAUUCAUUACUUCAUUUAUGUAUUCAUUCUUUCAACCAACACUCCCUUAUAUUCUAUGUUGUAGAGGAUAUUUUUCUAGGAGACAUAGAGGUUAUAAAAUAAUAUGAGCUAUUAAGAAAUGUAUAGCCUGAGGAUUGGGAAAAUAUCUUUUCAAAUCAUUCAAAAAGUACAAUUAAUUGUAAGAGGAGUUCACAUAUUGCAGCCAGAAGAAAUGGCUAAGAUUGAAAGGUGGAAAAGCCUCACAGAGCUAUAAUAGUUGGAGCCUUGGGAGUGAUUGCAGUCACCUUGGUAGAGAGUUUUGGGUGUAAAGGUUAUGUGCUUGUAAUGGGAAGGCAAAGACUGCAGAUGAGAAAAGAUUGAGGUAAAGGUUGAUGAUCAAACAAUUGCAUUAAUGCAUGCAAUCAAAAUAAUAGAGUGGGAGUGAAGGAUGAUUUAAGGCAGAGGGCACAGUAACUACAAAAGUCCUGAGGCAGGCAGGCUCAUUGUGUAUGAGAAGCACCAAGGGCCAAUCUGUCUAAGACAGAGUAAACAAGGAAAGGAGUACGAGAUAUGAUCAGAGAGGUGUAUGUUGGAAAGAGUCAGUUUAUGGUGACCUUGUAAAUUGUGGUUGAACUUUUUCUGAGUAAAAUGGGACAUAAAUAGAAGAUUUUAAGCAGGGCUAUGACAUGAUUUUUAUUUUUUUAAUACUUUUUUCCCCACUUACAGAAGAGGAAACUGAGGCACAAGGACUUGAAGUAACUUGUCCAAGGUCAACAGCUAGUAAGUUUUGGAGAUAAGGUCUGAACCCAAGCUGUACGUGUUCCAAGCUCCUAAGCUAUGUUGCCUCUCCAAAUCAAAUCAAAAGGGUGCAGACAAAAUGGACAUGUUUUUAUCUGAAUUACAGGUGAACAGACAGAAGUUAACUUUAAAAAAUUAAUUUGAAAAUGAGUUUUUACAGUCCAUAAAGAAAUAGCUAGCUAUAGCACACAUAUUACAUGCAUUUAUGUAUGUGUGUGUGUGUCUCUCUCUCUUUAUAUAUAUAUACACAUUAGAUGUAUAUAAAAGCAUCAUGAAUUUCCUCCAAAAUACUAUAUCAUAUGCCUUCCUAUCCCAGUAAACUUUUAUAUAUUAUAUCAGUAUUAUAGGUACAUUAUAAUAUAGCAAUUUAUGAAUAAUUAGGUUGCCUUCCAAAUCUUCCAAUUUCAAUUUCUAAUUAAAAUUGCCAUUUUUCUAUACCUUUUGUUGUAAAUGGAUUUUCCCCCAUAAUUUCUUGAUUGAUUUUUGUUUUUUGGGUUUUUUUGGCCACACGGUGCGGCUUGUGGGAUCUCAGUUCCCAGACUAGGGAUCAAACCCAGGCCCCGGCAGUGAAAGCGCCGAGUCCUAACCACCGGACUUGCCAGGGAAUUCCCUUUUGCAGGAAAUUUCUAAAGCUUUUUCCCAGCAAUGCAUAUAAUGCCUGUGCUCAAUUUUAUUACAUUAUCUUCUGGAAUGUGUACCUUUAAAAAAAAUAAAUCAAUUCUAUGUUUUUCAAAAUAAGAACAUUUUAUUUUAAUAUUUAUUUAUUUAUUUAUUUGGUUGUACUGGUUCUUAGUUGCAUCACACAGGAUCUUUGUCUGCUGCAUGUGGGAUCUUUGUUGUGGCAUGCGGGAUCUAGUUCCCUGACCACGGAUUGAACCCAGGCCCCCUACAUUGGGAGCAUGGAGUCUUAACCACUGGACCACCAGUGAAGUCCCCAAAAGAAGAACAUUUUUGGCAUGGCCAAAAAAAAGAACCCAUAAUGCAACCAUUAAAGCAGGAUCCUGGUUCCUCCUCAAGGGAUAUACAUAAUAAUAACUUUGCGUUCUUCUGCAGGAACUAAGGCUCCCACCUAGGUGGAGGAUGGUAACUUCAGGCUGAGCACAAGAGUCCUGGAACACUGCCCUAUUACCUCACCACCAAUCAGAAGAAAGUCACACACCCUGCAGCCCUCACCUCAAAUUUUGCUUGUUAAAACCAGCAGGGAGUUUGGGGUUUUUGAGCACAAGCCACCCAUUCUCCUUACUUGGACCUGCAAUAAACCUUUCUCUGCUCCAAACUCCAGCACCUCAGUUUGGCCUCACUGUGCUUCAGGCACACGAACUUGUAUUCAGUAACAGUUACUCUAAGUUUGAACAAUUUAUAAAAAUUCACCCAUCUUUAACGAUUUGGGCACUUUUUGGCAUGCUACAUUCAGAAAGUGGACUUUAAACACUUUAUUAUUUUUUUAAUCAUAAAAACUGUAUCAGGAACAGCUGCACAACCACACCCCCAAGGUCACAAACUGAAGCAAAUGCACUCACCAGCAGUAAAGGGUCACUCUCCUUACGUCCUCCUCCACAGGCCAGGCUGCGGUAACGGCCUGGAGAUUCAUCUCUUUUAGCCUCCUCAGAAUCCGCUCUAUCUUCCCCUCCACCUGCCAGAGCCUUCGGACUCUGUGGCGGCAUCCACCGCCAAACCGUGGUGAACUGAGGCUGAAAGAACAGGACGACCCCUUUUGGCCCUCUGGGGCUCCCAGUCCACACUACACGUCCCAGACGUCCCCGCGGCCGGAAAUAAGCUUCCCGCCAGAGCGCGACCGGAGGUGCCACAUCACAGCUGGGACAGCAGACGCGCGGAGUGAUUCGCGGAGUCGGCGGAGGACCCGCCGGUCGCGGCUUGUACUCUUGGGAGGAGUACGGUACUGAGAGGGGCUUGGAAGGCUUGGGUAGCUGGCUCUCUCGGAUCUUUUGGGUACUGGACUACAUUUUCCAGAAGCCUGCGGAUGUAACGUCACUUCCUACUAGGUUGUCAGCGCUGCUAAUGCUGGAACGAGCUGACCCGCGCAGCGGCUGAGGGAGCGCGGACUGUUAAUCUGGACCCGGACCGCUGGGACCCGGCAGGACGCCGGAGAAGCAGAAGGUGAGACGUUGUCUGAGCCCCCGGACAAAGACCGGCCGUGUCUAGAGCC